rnacentral:snRNA from 1 species
GUUUGUGAGCGUGGUCUGGCCGCGACGUCCGCCGCCCCCCUGAUCCGCAGAGUUGACUGGCCGUGAAGGGUGUCCCUUCCCCCUCACCGCUCCCCGUGUGUCCCUCCCCCCGAAGCUGCGCUCGGUCGAAAAGGGGGACCGUACCUGAAAAGAGGAGGACCGUGCUUCCGUCAAGGGAAUACAAGUAGCUGGGCUGCCCUGCUGGAGCCUCCAAGGAAGCUCUCGGGGCCCAUUUGUAGGGGGACGUAGGGUGGUCACACUGCCAAGACUCCAGACACGGCCAGAUGAGGCCCGCAUGUAGCAGUCUGCCUUCU